AACGAACGCUGGCGGCAUGCCUAACACAUGCAAGUCGAACGAGACCUUCGGGUCUAGUGGCGCACGGGUGCGUAACGCGUGGGAACCUGCACUUAGGUUCGGAAUAACUCCCCGAAAGGGGUGCUAAUACCGGAUAAUGUCUUCGGACCAAAGAUUUAUCGCCUUUGGAUGGGCCCGCGUUGGAUUAGCUAGUUGGUAGGGUAAAAGCCUACCAAGGCGACGAUCCAUAGCUGGUCUGAGAGGAUGAUCAGCCACACUGGGACUGAGACACGGCCCAGACUCCUACGGGUGGCAGCAGUGGGGAAUAUUGGACAAUGGGCGAAAGCCUGAUCCAGCAAUGCCGCGUGAGUGAUGAAGGCCUUAGGGUUGUAAAGCUCUUUUACCCGGGAUGAUAAUGACAGUACCGGGAGAAUAAGCGCCGGCUAACUCCGUG
rnacentral:rRNA from 1 species